rnacentral:rRNA from 1 species
CAGCAGCCGCGGUAAUACGGAGGGUGCAAGCGUUAUCCGGAUUUAUUGGGUUUAAAGGGUCCGUAGGCGGACUUAUAAGUCAGUGGUGAAAGCCUGUCGCUUAACGAUAGAACUGCCAUUGAUACUGUAAGUCUUGAGUAUAUUUGAGGUAGCUGGAAUAAGUAGUGUAGCGGUGAAAUGCAUAGAUAUUACUUAGAACACCAAUUGCGAAGGCAGGUUACCAAGAUAUAACUGACGCUGAGGGACGAAAGCGUGGGUAGCGAACAGGAUUAGAUACCCGGGUAGUCCCUGUCUCUUAUAC